GACGAACGCUGGCGGCGUGCUUAACACAUGCAAGUCGAACGGAAAGGCCCUGCUUGCAGGGUACUCGAGUGGCGAACGGGUGAGUAACACGUGGGUGAUCUGCCCUGCACUUCGGGAUAAGCCUGGGAAACUGGGUCUAAUACCGGAUAGGAGCCAUUUUUAGUGUGAUGGUUGGAAAGUUUUUUUCGGUGUAGGAUGAGCUCGCGGCCUAUCAGCUUGUUGGUGGGGUAAUGGCCUACCAAGGCGGCGACGGGUAGCCGGCCUGAGAGGGUGGACGGCCACAUUGGGACUGGGAUACGGCCCAGACUCCUACGGGAGGCAGCAGUGGGGAAUAUUGCACAAUGGGCGCAAGCCUGAUGCAGCGACGCCGCGUGGGGGAUGACGGCCUUCGGGUUGUAAACUCCUUUCGCUAGGGACGAAGCUUUUUGUGACGGUACCUAGAUAAGAAGCACCGGCUAACUACGUG
rnacentral:rRNA from 1 species